GAUGAAGAACGUAGCGAAAUGCGAUAAGUAAUGUGAAUUGCAGAAUUCAGUGAAUCAUCGAAUCUUUGAACGCUCAUUGCGCCUGCCAGUAAUCUGGCGGGCAUGCCUGUCUGAGCGUCAUUUCAACCCUCAAGCAACUUCUGCUUGGUGUUGGGGAUCGGCCGUCAAACGCCGCCCCCGAAAUCUAUUGGCGAUCUCGCUGUAGCUUCCUAUGCGUAGUAGUAACAUCUCGCAUCUGGAGAGCGGCGCGGUCAUGCCGUAAAACACCCAACUUCUCAGGUUGACCUCAGAUCAGGUAGGAAUACCCGCUGAACUUAAGCAUAUCAAUAAGCGGAGGA
rnacentral:misc_RNA from 1 species